CUGAAGAAAGCUAAACCAUUCGUGAGGAUGGGGCGGAAAACCACGGGUCUUACACAAGACAGCCGGGUUGCCUGGA
rnacentral:ncRNA from 1 species